rnacentral:tRNA from 1 species
GGAGAGGUCGCAUAGCUGGUCCAUUGCGGGGGAUUGCUAAUCCCCUGAGCCGUAAGGCUCGCGUGGGUUCGAAUCCCACCCUCUCCG